GCCUGGGUGGCUCAGUUGGUUGAGCAUCUGACUUCGGCUCAGGUCAUGAUCCUGUGUUCAUGGGUUCAAGCCCCUCAUUAGGCU
rnacentral:tRNA from 1 species